rnacentral:rRNA from 1 species
AUUGAACGCUGGCGGCAGGCCUAACACAUGCAAGUCGAGCGGAUGAAGGGAGCUUGCUCCUGGAUUCAGCGGCGGACGGGUGAGUAAUGCCUAGGAAUCUGCCUGGUAGUGGGGGAUAACGUCCGGAAACGGGCGCUAAUACCGCAUACGUCCUGAGGGAGAAAGUGGGGGAUCUUCGGACCUCACGCUAUCAGAUGAGCCUAGGUCGGAUUAGCUAGUUGGUGGGGUAAAGGCCUACCAAGGCGACGAUCCGUAACUGGUCUGAGAGGAUGAGCAGUCACCCUGGAACUGAGCCACGGUCCAGGCUCCUACGGGAGGCAGCAGUGGGGAAUAUUGGACAAUGGGCGAAAGCCUGAUCCAACCAUGCCGCGUGUGUGAAGAAGGUCUUCGGAUUGUAAAGCACUUUUAGUUGGGAGGAAGGGCAGUAAGUUAAUACCUUGCUGUUUUGACGUUACCAACAGAAUAAGCACCGGCUAACUUCGUG